CUUGAGGAGGGGCGGGUCCCUCAGCCUGGAUUGCGAGAGGGUGCAGGCCAGGCCGAGGGACCCCAACAGUGCAUG
rfam:Myotis davidii contig212288, whole genome shotgun sequence.